ACUUGGAUAGCUUAUAUAGAGCAUGAUAUUGAAGAUAUCAGGGAAAAUUUUAUUUUUCGAGUA
rnacentral:tRNA from 1 species